CCCUCAAAAUUUCAGCGCCCUAUCUCUCUAAAUAAAAUAAUAAACCCUACACACGAACAAGACUACUCAGAGAUAGAAACCGACUAAGAGCCCGUUUGGAUUGGCUUAUAAGUUGCUUAUAAGCUGUUUUCAGUUUUUUUUUAGUGUUUAGCUGGCCAGCUUAAAGUCAUUUUGUGCUUAAAAUAAGCUUAAAAAAAUAAUUGGGCACAUUCGACUUAGCUUAUCUAAAGCGGCUUAUAAGCUGAAAACAGCUUAUAAACCAAAAAAAAUAAAUUAGACUAUCCCAACUUAUUUUUUUUAAAUUAUAAGCUGUUUGCAGCUACAGACAUAAGCCAAUCCAAACAGGCUCUAAAAAAGCUGUAAGUCUUCAUCUCUCAGCCUCAUAAUUCUCAUUCUUUAAGCCGUAUCUUUGUUUGGAAUGUGUAAAAUAGAAUGUUUGGAAUAAGCUUCAUUAUGUUUGGAAUAAGCUUCAUAAUUUUACUUCGAAGCUCAGGAAUAAACUCGAGACUCCGGCGCCGCAGUUAGGAAGCGUGUAGGUAUUGAGAUAUUCCAAUAGAGCAUCAGGGAUGUUGAAAUAUGGAUUUUGAAGCUAAUGAAAGAGUUUUGAAGCUGAUGAUUGUAGUGCUUCGUCAUUUGAGGAGAUUGAUAACGAAGGGGAGAGAAAUAUGGGAACAAAGUUUUACAUGCCUCUAAAGAAUUUUGUGGGAUGCCUUACUGAUGACACCGUAUAGAUUAAAAAGCUGAAGUCUGAAGAACCUAUCGCGGAAGAAAGUGGAGCGAGUAGAAGCAACUGAAAAUGCUAAAGAACAAGUUGAACCACAAGAGGAACCUAUUUUCUAUUUUGAUUGGAGUUGUUAAAGAUGUUUCCAUUUGUAAUGCUAUAGUUCUAUCUUUUGUUUUGGUAGAGCUUGACAAAUAUAUUGUCAUACAAUUUGGAUAGGUAUACUUUUGGUACUAUUAUGCUUUUGUUCUUUGUAGUUAACUGUGAAAUUUAAUAUAAAUAUUGAUCAUUUUUUAUGUUUC